rnacentral:rRNA from 1 species
GACGAACGCUGGCGGCGUGCUUAACACAUGCAAGUCGAACGGAAAGGCCCUGCUUUUGUGGGGUGCUCGAGUUGCGAACGGGUGAGUAACCCUUGAGUAACCUGCCCUUGACUUUGGGAUAACUUCAGGCAACUGGGGCUAAUACCGGCUAGGAUCUCCUGCUGCAUGGUGGGGGUUGGAUAGUUUCGGCGGUUGGGGAUGGACUCGCGGCUUAUCAGCUUGUUGGUGGGGUAGUGGCUUACCAAGGCUUUGACGGGUAGCCGGCCUGAGAGGGUGACCGGCCAAAUUGGGACUGAAAUACGACACAGACUCCUACGGGAGGCAGGAGUGGGGAAUAUUGCACAAUGGGCGGAAGGCUGAUGCAGCAAAGCCGCGUGCGGGAUGACGGCCUUCGGGUUGUAAACCGAUGUCGCCUGUGACGAAGCGUGAGUGACGGUAAUGGGUAAAGAAGCACCGGCUAACUACGUG